UACGUAGGUGGCAAGCGUUAUCCGGAUUUAUUGGGUUUAAAGGGUGCGCAGGUUGUUUGAUAAGUCAGUGGUGAAAGUCUGUCGCUUAACGGUAGGAUUGCCAUUGAUACUGUUGGACUUGAAUAUGGAUGAGGUAGGCGGAAUGUGUAGUGUAGCGGUGAAAUGCAUAGAUAUUACACAGAACACCGAUUGCGAAGGCAGCUUACUAAUCCAUCAUUGACGCUGAGGCACGAAAGCGUGGGGAUCAAACAGGAUUA
rnacentral:rRNA from 1 species